rnacentral:vault_RNA from 1 species
GUGGAGGUUUAGCUCAGUGGUUACUUCUCAUAUUUCACAAUGGUACACUCCCAGGCCCUUGGGCCUCAGGGUUUGAACCACGGGCAAUGUCCUCUGCUUUU